GUGGCUGGUCACAUAUGAGACUUGAGGUGGAUGAAAACCUAAAAAAAGUUAAUGCAUCUUCUUCCGUUCCCCGUGAGUUCCUCAAACAGUCAAACCUGCAAACCCCAAAAUAACUCUUCAAAUUCUCUCUCCUUCCCAUGGUCUGACUUCAAAAAAUUAGUCAAUUAAUUCUCUUAAUUACCUUAAUUAUCUCUCUUAAAAAUACUCUGGUAGACUGAAUUCUUCUCAUGAUGUUCAACGUAUAAAUUUCAUAUAUUUAUAUAUGUGUCAAGAUUCAAGAUCUCUUGAGACUGAGUAUCAAUAUCUACUUCAAUUUUUUUUUCAAUUCAAAGAGCCCUUCAAUAACGAUGCAGUUGGAACUGUCGUUGCUUCCGAUACUAGUUAUGAGGCUCUGAACUAUAACCAGUGUGUCUUUGUUGAUUGGGUUGUUACGCUGUUGUUUGCUCUGCUGAUGUACUCUGCUGCGUCUAAUGCAGUUUGGCUGCCUUUUGUGUUGAUUGUCUAGUCUUUUGUUGUUGCUCAUGUGUUUUUAGUUUGGGAUGCGGGUUUGUGCUCCCUUAGCGGUUUUUUCUUGAUUCUCUGUUUGAAUAUUGUUUGGUUUCUACCUUUUGGUAAUAACUAGGAGUCGGACCGCGCACUAACGCGCGCGAAAGACCCGCCAAAAAAGAAAUAAAUUUUUCUUAUGGAGAAGGGAGUGCAGGCAAUGUAUGUGCUAAUAGACGAAGUGAACUCAACCUUAUAGUACAUGUUGUCGGUGAUAAUCUAAAAGUGAAAGUGUAUUAGAUUUUGAACAUGAGAUUGCCCUAAAAGAAACCACUAACAAAAUUGUGUUUACGAUGUUAA